CUGGGAAGUAAGUCAGAAGGCAAGCCAGGAACUGAGCAGGGAAGUGAUCCAGGUAUUGAGCCGGGAAGCAAGUUGGGAAAUGAGCUGCAAAAUGAGUUGGGAAGUGAGUUGGGAAGUGAGCCAGGAAGCAAGCUGGGAAGUAAGCCGGGAAAUAAUCCAGGAAGCAUGUUGGUAUACAAGCUAGGAAAUGAGUCAGGAAGUGAGCUGGGAAGUAAGUCAGGAACUAAGUCAGGAAACAAACUAGGAAAUGAGGCAGGAAAUAAGCUGGCAAGCAAGCCAGGAAGCAAGCUGGGAAGUAAGUCAGGAACUAAGCCAGGAAUUGAGCAGAGAAGUGAUCUGGAAAGCAAGUUGGGAAGCAAGCUAAGAAAUGAGGCAGGAAGUGAGUGGGCAAGUGAGCCGGGAAGCAAGCUGGGAAAUGAUCUGGGAAUGGAGCUGGGAACUGAGCCGAGCUCUCAUGACCCUGGGAAUGUGGCUGAAACACUGAGCAGCCAUUCCGAGAAGGAAACACUUGCCCCAAGCACCGGGGUCUCCCCAGGGAUUUCCAAGGCCCAGAUGGCAGAUGAUGGAUGUUCCCAGAGCACGGAGAAGGAUUUGGCUGGUGGAAGCAUGAGCAGGGAGAACAAGGAGAACAGGGAAUCCAUCCGGACCCUCAGUGUCACCUCGAACCUGGGGCUGCUGAUGACAGUGAGUGAUGCAGAGUCCGACACCUCCUACUCCUUCUCCUCGGUCGCAAAGAUCCAGGUGGAGGAGAACUACAUCCCCGAAAGGCAGGGGAAGGACAGGGACAACUGGACGGUCCCCGGGCUCAGAGGCAAAGUCUACAACUACUACGUGCAGUCCAUCUCCGAGUCGGUGCUGAAGAAGAAGUGUCUCCCCUACAUCCCUCCGGGAAUGUCCCGGUGUCACAGCUCUGAGCAGGUCAAUGAAGAGCUGCAGAGCUUUGCAACCCAGAAGCAGGACCCAGCUUUGGCAGCACGUGAUCCCACCACCUCCUCCACAGUCCCACCACCCACGAGGAGCUCAGAGGCCUCUCCUGAGCCACCGUCUCCCGGCCGCAGGAAGAGCAUCCUCCAGAUUGCCGACAGCCCCCACCUCCAGCUGCCCAUGGAGGGGUUUGGGGUCACAGCUCCA
rnacentral:lncRNA from 1 species